GACGAACGCUGGCGGCGUGCUUAACACAUGCAAGUCGAACGGAAAGGCCCUGCUUUUGUGGGGUGCUCGAGUGGCGAACGGGUGAGUAACACGUGAGUAACCUGCCCUUGACUUUGGGAUAACUUCAGGAAACUGGGGCUAAUACCGGAUAGGAGCUCCUGCUGCAUGGUGGGGGUUGGAAAGUUUCGGCGGUUGGGGAUGGACUCGCGGCUUAUCAGCUUGUUGGUGGGGUAGUGGCUUACCAAGGCUUUGACGGGUAGCCGGCCUGAGAGGGUGAACGGGCACAAUGGGACUGAGGUACGGACCAGACUGCUACGGGAGGCAAGAGGGGGGAAUAUUGCACAAUGGGCGGAAGCCUGAUGCAGCAACGCCGCGUGCGGGAUGACGGCCUUCGGGUUGUAAACCGCUUUCGCCUGUGACGAAGCGUGAGUGACGGUAAUGGGUAAAGAAGCACCGGCUAACUACGUG
rnacentral:rRNA from 1 species